CACAAUACAAUAUGAAGGCUGUCCGCAGCUGGAGUAUUUUAUUACCCUUGUCUUUUGCGCACUUGUUGUUUCCUGGGCGGGUUCGCUCGCCACCAGGACCACCAAAUAAACCUUUUUUAUGCAGUUGCAAUCAGCGUCAGUACAAACAAUGUAAAUCAUUUA
rnacentral:misc_RNA from 3 species